rnacentral:lncRNA from 1 species
AUGAAUACUAUUUACUCUUAUCGGACCCGCACCACAAAAAAUCACUUUGAAUCUUAGAAUCUCCUUCAAGACUUUAAUUAGAUCUUUGUAAAGACAAAGUAUAAACGAGGAUAGAGUUUAGCACAACAUUUAUCCUAACAAUCAUGUCUCCUAUUGACAAUAAUCUACUUUUCCAACUAGAUAGCUUUUGUCUCAGCAUAUCAACAACUUUUCUCCAUAAGCUAGCUCUUCUAGGUCUAGAAUCGACCUGUUCCCCUAAGAAUUUGAAGGGAAGCCUAUCAAUAUAGCAGAAAAGAAAGGAUGAAGUAGUCUGAAUGAAGUUAUUUUUCACAUUAACACCAUAAAUGUUGUUUCUGAAAAAAAUAACCCGCAG